rnacentral:rRNA from 1 species
UGAGCAAUCUGCCCUUCUCAUCGGAAUAAGCGUUGGAAACGACGUCUAAUGCCGAAUACGACCUCCUUUCGCAUGAUCGGAGGUGGAAAGCUUCGGCGGAGAAGGAUGAGCUCGCGGCCUAUCAGCUAGUUGGUGUGGGUAAUGGCCCACCAAGGCGACGACGGGUAGCCGGCCUGAGAGGGUGACCGGCCACACUGGGACUGAGACACGGCCCAGACUCCUACGGGAGCAG